UACGGAGGGUGCAAGCGUUGAUCGGAAUUACUGCGCGUAAAGCGCGUGUAGGCGGUCUCCUAAGUCUGGUGUGAAAGCCCGGGGCUCACCCCCGGAAGUGCACUGGAUACUGGGAGACUGGAGUACCGGAGAGGAGGGUGGAAUUCCUGGUGUAGCGGUGAAAUGCGUAGAUAUCAGGAAGAACACCGGUGGCGAAGGCGGCCCUCUGGCCGGAUACUGGCGCUGAGACGCGAAAGCGUGGGGAGCAAACAGG
rnacentral:rRNA from 1 species